AAGGUCGAGAAGAUAUUUUCCCACGAAAGCCCUUACUCCAUUAUCGUCCUCUUCGAUGUCAAACCAGAUCUUUUCGUUAUCUUCAUCUUGAUGUAGAUUUGGGUUUUAAUCGGCUCAGUCUCCUCUGAGAAACAAAAAAAAAAGCUCUUUGAUUUCAAUGAAGCAGUGAAUCUUCUCCAAACUCUACGUCUCCCCAUCUUAACUCCGUCAACCAUUAAUGUAUCUUCCUUCCUAUUUAUAACAUCAUGGGGAACACAGAAUCCCUUCAUCUCAAAUACAGUCUUGGCCGUCGCAGUUAUACCAACUCCUCCAAAAAUUCGAUCUCUGGUGCUCCAGUUUCUCAAGCCGAUGUCCGCCACUCAACGUUCGACUCACUUUGUCUUGGUCGCACUUCUCAGUUUGUUGCGGUCGCCUUCUCCACUUUUGGGAUUCCCAUAACAUAAAAACAGUGAAUAAAAGUGGGAUCGAGCUAUGGGAGAGUGGAGUCGGAGAGUUCGUCUCCGAUGGAAAUGGCGAAGGAGAUGGUGGUUGAGUAGGAGUUGUGGCUGCUACUGAACUGAGGGAGAGAUUAGGAGAGAGAGCGUGUGAAAGAAAGAGGCUGUUUGUGGAGGUUGGGAAAAGGAAUGGUUUGACCGAAUGUGGUGUUACAUAUCCCGGUGGAGCAGAGCAGUUGUGUAUAUCAUAUUUAAGUAUUUUCAUCUCUUUUAAAACAUAGAUAUUUGUCUUCAAGCUUCCAGUUGUCCCGUAAGACAAUUAUAUGGAUUCUAAUUCUACAGAGAUAAUUUGGUGUUGCAAUUGGCAGAGGAAAACAGUCUACCAAAACAUAAGCUACUGUGAAUCUGUUUGCUAUAAUCGUACUAUGCUUUAUGUGUAUGGUCUGAAGCAGUUAUAAUUAACUCACAAUGGACCAGGCAAGUAGAUUAUGAAACCAAAAAGAGCUUCUACGGUUAAUGGGAUUGAUGAUACUGAUUCACGUAAUGAAUAGAGUUUGUAAUUAUAUUGUUCUUUCUGAAUAUAUGGCUUUUUAGAUGGCUUUUACAAUUAAAUCUUCAGUAUUUAUAUUGUUCUUUCUGAAUAUAUUGUUUGUAAUUCCUAACUUCAAAAUACGAGCACUAAAUAUCAAGUUUAUUUUCUCUUUAAAACACAUGAAGCAGAUUUCCUCUGUAAAGCUAUGAUUGUUGGAGUCUUCCAACAAAAUGGAUGGUCAUUUGUCCCAUGCACCGGCUGCAACAGGAAGUUGGAUAAAACGGGCACUUCCCUGCUACAUUUGUGUUUCCUCCAACAUCACCGGUGUUCUCAGCUUCAAAUUAUAUACACCGACUAAUUUCCUGAUACUACAUUCAUAUAUAUAUAUAUAUAUAUGCUUUAGACAUUUGACAUUUUGUCUUUCAAGGUUCUGUGUUGAGCUAGCUGUCGCAGACAAUAAUGAUAACGCAACUUUUGUUGUCGUCAACAAUGAGAUGACAAACUAACCCAGGAAAAUGCAUAUGGCCUUUUUUCUACAAGAGAUGCCUAGCGGUGGUUUCCAGGAUCUACCAUAAUGAUUCCAGGAGCUUGAGGGCAAGUACUUUGUCUUCCAUAUACGUGUCACCCUACAAUCACAACCAGCACAAUCAUACAUUCACCGUCUACGCAAUCAGAGAAAAUGUCUUCUUUGGCACUCAGCCACAGACUUGCAGCAUCAACCAAACUACAAGAUGUGACAUCGAACCUGGACUACUUACAGCAUCUUCUAGCCACCAAGCUAAUGCGUCAAACAAAUGGGAUGAUGAACCAAAUCCAGCGGGCUUGGAAGAGGAAGGAAACAGUUGCUAACACCAAAUGCGUCAGUGAUUCUUGCAGAUCACUCUUUCCGUCACUCUACUUUCAGUUAUUGUCAUUUAAAAAAACUAAGCUUUUUUUUUUUUUUUUGUCAAACAAACUAAGCUUUUGGUAUCAUAUUUUACUCUAUGGGUUGUUGUAAAAAUUUUCUUCAAGCUUUCUAUGACGAGAUAAAUUAAUAUCCCCCUAUACAUUAAAAGAGAAGUCACUUUAGUGAUUUCUGCUGAGGUGGCACUCAUAGGGAGCUUCUCAGAAAAAACGUUAUAAUUCUAUUAGUUGAAUUUUUGUAAUUUUUCUUUCUGAUUUAUUUUUUCAUUCCUUCCGCGUCAUUAAAAACGCAGCCGUUUUUGCUGAAGUUUUUUCUUCUUUUUUUUUUCCAAUCGCGUGUCAAAAUGAAGGGGGAGAUGGUUUCAAUCUGAUGAAGACAGUCCGACCAGAUGAGUUUUGUUCUUCAUAACACAAAGGCUCAAUCCUAUCCAUCGCUAAUUGCAUCGACAACCAGACGAGGUGAAGUUUAUCGAGUCUCUCCGAAUUUUAAUUUUUUUUUUGUUCUCUGAUUAGAUUCGACUUUUAAGAUAUGAUGCGAACGUUUUUUGAUACCUUUGAUUGGAUUCGACUUUUAAGCUAUGAUACAAAGAUUGUUGGAUAACACUGAUUCCAAUCGACAUAUGUUUCUUAAUUGAUUACAUUUUGCUUAUUUA